rnacentral:rRNA from 1 species
AUUGAACGCUGGCGGCAGGCCUAACACAUGCAAGUCGAACGGUAACAGGAAACAGCUUGCUGUUUCGCUGACGAGUGGCGGACGGGUGAGUAAUGUCUGGGAAACUGCCUGAUGGAGGGGGAUAACUACUGGAAACGGUAGCUAAUACCGCAUAACGUCGCAAGACCAAAGAGGGGGACCCUCGGGCCUCUUGCCAUCGGAUGUGCCCAGAUGGGAUUAGCUUGUUGGUGGGGUAACGGCUCACCAAGGCGACGAUCCCUAGCUGGUCUGAGAGGAUGACCAGCCACACUGGAACUGAGACACGGUCCAGACUCCUACGGGAGGCAGCAGUGGGGAAUAUUGCACAAUGGGCGCAAGCCUGAUGCAGCCAUGCCGCGUGUAUGAAGAAGGCCUUCGGGUUGUAAAGUACUUUCAGCGGGGAGGAAGGGAGUAAAGUUAAUACCUUUGCUCAUUGACGUUACCCGCAGAAGAAGCACCGGCUAACUCCGUGCCAGCAGCCGCGGUAAUACGGAGGGUGCAAGCGUUAAUCGGAAUUACUGGGCGUAAAGCGCACGCAGGCGGUUUGUUAAGUCAGAUGUGAAAUCCCCGGGCUCAACCUGGGAACUGCAUCUGAUACUGGCAAGCUUGAGUCUCGUAGAGGGGGGUAGAAUUCCAGGUGUAGCGGUGAAAUGCGUAGAGAUCUGGAGGAAUACCGGUGGCGAAGGCGGCCCCCUGGACGAAGACUGACGCUCAGGUGCGAAAGCGUGGGGAGCAAACAGGAUUAGAUACCCUGGUAGUCCACGCCGUAAACGAUGUCGACUUGGAGGUUGUGCCCUUGAGGCGUGGCUUCCGGAGCUAACGCGUUAAGUCGACCGCCUGGGGAGUACGGCCGCAAGGUUAAAACUCAAAUGAAUUGACGGGGGCCCGCACAAGCGGUGGAGCAUGUGGUUUAAUUCGAUGCAACGCGAAGAACCUUACCUGGUCUUGACAUCCACGGAAGUUUUCAGAGAUGAGAAUGUGCCUUCGGGAACCGUGAGACAGGUGCUGCAUGGCUGUCGUCAGCUCGUGUUGUGAAAUGUUGGGUUAAGUCCCGCAACGAGCGCAACCCUUAUCCUUUGUUGCCAGCGGUCCGGCCGGGAACUCAAAGGAGACUGCCAGUGAUAAACUGGAGGAAGGUGGGGAUGACGUCAAGUCAUCAUGGCCCUUACGACCAGGGCUACACACGUGCUACAAUGGCGCAUACAAAGAGAAGCGACCUCGCGAGAGCAAGCGGACCUCAUAAAGUGCGUCGUAGUCCGGAUUGGAGUCUGCAACUCGACUCCAUGAAGUCGGAAUCGCUAGUAAUCGUGGAUCAGAAUGCCACGGUGAAUAAGGUCCCGGGCCU